rnacentral:rRNA from 1 species
AGUGAACGCUGGCGGUAGGCCUAACACAUGCAAGUCGAACGGCAGCACAGUAAGAGCUUGCUCUUACGGGUGGCGAGUGGCGGACGGGUGAGGAAUACAUCGGAAUCUACUUUUUCGUGGGGGAUAACGUAGGGAAACUUACGCUAAUACCGCAUACGACCUACGGGUGAAAGCAGGGGAACUUCGGACCUUGCGCGAUUGAAUGAGCCGAUGUCGGAUUAGCUAGUUGGCGGGGUAAAGGCCCACCAAGGCGACGAUCCGUAGCUGGUCUGAGAGGAUGGUCAGCCACACUGGAACUGAGACACGGUCCAGACUCCUACGGGAGGCAGCAGUGGGGAAUAUUGGACAAUGGGCGCAAGCCUGAUCCAGCCAUACCGCGUGGGUGAAGAAGGCCUUCGGGUUGUAAAGCCCUUUUGUUGGGAAAGAAAAGCAGCAGGUUAAGACCCCGCUGUUCGGACGGUACCCAAAGAAUAAGCACCGGCUAACUUCGU